UACGUAGGGUGCGAGCGUUAAUCGGAAUUACUGGGCGUAAAGCGUGCGCAGGCGGUUCGUUGUGUCUGCUGUGAAAGCCCCGGGCUCAACCUGGGAAUGGCAGUGGAAACUGGCGAGCUGGAGUGUGGCAGAGGGGGGUGGAAUUCCGCGUGUAGCAGUGAAAUGCGUAGAGAUGCGGAGGAACACCGAUGGCGAAGGCAGCCCCCUGGGCUGACACUGACGCUCAGGCACGAAAGCGUGGGGAGCAAACAGG
rnacentral:rRNA from 1 species